UUUCUUUCCAUUGAGUAUUAUACGCCAUCU
rnacentral:piRNA from 1 species